rnacentral:rRNA from 1 species
AGCAGCCGCGGUAAUUCCAGCUCCAAUAGCGUAUAUUAAAGUUGUUGCAGUUAAAAAGCUCGUAGUUGAAUUUCGGGGUUAGUACGCUGGUCGUGCCUUCGGUAUGUACUGGUGUUACUGAUUCCUACCUUCUGAAGAACCGUCAUGUCAUUAAUUUGGUGUGGCGGGGAAUCAGGACUAUUACUUUGAAAAAAUUAGAGUGUUUAAAGCAGGCUCGCGCUUGAAUACAUUAGCAUGGAAUAAUGAAAUAGGACGUUUGAUCCUAUUUUGUUGGUUUCUAGGAUUGACGUAAUGAUUAAUAGGGAUAGUUGGGGGCAUUAGUAUUCAAUUGUCAGAGGUGAAAUUCUUGGAUUUAUUGAAGACUAACUACUGCGAAAGCAUUUGCCAAGGAUGUUUUCAUUAAUCAAGAACGAAAGUUAGGGGAUCGAAGACGAUCAGAUACCGUCGUAGUCUUAACCAUAAACUAUGCCGACUAGGGAUCGGAUGAUGUUAAUUUUUUAAUGACUCAUUCGGCGCCUUA